rnacentral:rRNA from 2 species
AUAUCAGUCGAGCGACUGAUUAGAAGCUUGCUUCUAUGACGUUAGCGGCGGACGGGUGAGUAACACGUGGGGCAACCUGCCUGUAAGACUGGGAUAACUCCGGGAAACCGGAGCUAAUACCGGAUAACAUUUUCUCUUGCAUAAGAGAAAAUUGAAAGAUGGUUUCGGCUAUCACUUACAGAUGGGCCCGCGGUGCAUUAGCUAGUUGGUGAGGUAACGGCUCACCAAGGCAACCGAUGCAUAGCCGACCUGAGAGGGUGAUCGGCCACACUGGGACUGAGACACGGCCCAGACUCCUACGGGAGGCAGCAGUGGGGA